rnacentral:lncRNA from 10 species
AGAGUUUCUGCAUAAAGAAGAUUGAGAAACUAUUUGUCUAAAUGUGUGGUUUUUCUUAAGUCCCAACAAUUUACAGCUAUAAUCUUCUAACCCAGUUAGUAUACCUCCUUUCUGUUUGGUUUCCUAAAUUGUAUUGUAAAUUUAAUAUUCCCAAAUUUCUUGUCUUUAGCAAUUUUUGUGUGUAGUUUUAAAGAUGUAUAGACAUGUAGACAUUCAGACACUUAACCUCACAGCAAACAAGUUGAAUCCAUAUCUAACCAUAUAUAAGUGAUGGCAGUGAAAUCAGUCCUGGAACCACUGAAGUCCCAUGGGACCCCAGGCCCAGAGUUUGCAGUGUGACAUUUUACUAUUGGAAGAGAGAUCCAGAGUCGCCAAGGCAGCAGAUUGAGCAGAACUCCAUGGUUAUUGUGAGGCACACAGCCUUCUGCUGCACAUUCUGAUCUCACAGUUACCAGAGGUGCAAAUGGAGAUGGGUAUACAGUAGUCCCCUUAUCCGCAAUUUUGCUGUCUGAGGCUUCAGUUACCUUCAGUUACCUUCAGUCAAAUAUGGUCUGAAAAUAUUAAAUGGAAAAAUUCCAGAAAUAAACAAUUCAUAAGUUUUCUGUUGCAUGCCAUUCUGAGCAGCAGGAUGAAAUCUCUCACUGUCCCGCUCCUUCCUCCCCAGGACAUGAGUCCUCCCUUUGCCCAGUGUCUCCACACUGUAGACAUUCCCACUCAUUAGUCACUUUCAUAGCCACCUUGGUGAUCAGGUUUACUGUCACAGUGUCACAGUGCUUGUGUUCCAGUAACCCUUAUUUAAUUAA